GGGCAGGGCGGCAGGCUACCAUGCAAGUCGAACGGUAGCACAGAGAGCUUGCUCUCGGGUGACGAGUGGCGGACGGGUGAGUAAUGUCUGGGAAACUGCCUGAUGGAGGGGGAUAACUACUGGAAACGGUAGCUAAUACCGCAUAACGUCGCAAGACCAAAGAGGGGGACCUUCGGGCCUCUUGCCAUCAGAUGUGCCCAGAUGGGAUUAGCUAGUAGGUGGGGUAACGGCUCACCUAGGCGACGAUCCCUAGCUGGUCUGAGAGGAUGACCAGCCACACUGGAACUGAGACACGGUCCAGACUCCUACGGGAGGCAGCAGUGGGGAAUAUUGCACAAUGGGCGCAAGCCUGAUGCAGCCAUGCCGCGUGUAUGAAGAAGGCCUUCGGGUUGUAAAGUA
rnacentral:rRNA from 1 species